AUUGAACGCUGGCGGCAGGCCUAACACAUGCAAGUCGAACGAGUGGCGGACGGGUGAGUAAUGUCUGGGAAACUGCCUGAUGGAGGGGGAUAACUACUGGAACCGGUAGCUAAUACCGCAUACCAUCAGAUGUUCCCAGCUGGGAGUAGCUUGUGGGUGGGGUAACGGGUCACCAAGGCGACGAUCCCUAGCUGGUCUGAGAGGAUGACCGGCAACACGGGAAUGGGGACACGGUCCAGACUCCUCCGGGAGGGAGCAGUGGGGAAUAUUGCACAAUGGGCGCAAGCCUGAUGCAGCCAGGCCGCGGGUAUGAAGAAGGCGUUCGGGUGGUAAAAUACUUUCAGCGGGGAGGCGUUACCCGCAGAAGAAGCACCGGCUAACUCCGUGCCAGCAGCCGCGGUAAUAC
rnacentral:rRNA from 1 species